CAGAGUAUAGCCGUGCGGCUGUACUGUUUUUGGGUUUAAAAAAAAAGGAGCCUCCAGCGAUUAGGCGCCACGUGUCCCAAAAAAGUAUAGCCGCCCGGCUAUACUAUG
rnacentral:pre_miRNA from 1 species